rnacentral:tRNA from 1 species
AGGGGUGUAGUUCAAUGGUAGAAUAUCGGUCUCCAAAACCGAGGGUUGGGAGUUCAAGUCUCUUCACCCCUG